CCAGACUCCUACGGGAGGCAGCCGUGAGGACUCUUGGUCAAUGGCCGCCGGGCUGAACCAGCCAAGUCGCGUGCGGGAUGACGGUCCUAUGGAUUGUAAACCUCUUUUGUCAGGGAGCCAAGGGCGCCACGUGUGGCGUUUUGCGAGUACCUGAAGAAAAAGCAUCGGCUAACUCCGUGCCAGCCGCCGCGGUAAUACGGAGGAUGCGAGCGUUAUCCGGAUUUAUUGGGUUUAAAGGGUGCGCAGGCGGAAGGGCAAGUCAGCGGGAAAAUGUCGGGGCGCAACCCCGGCGGGCCGGGGAAACGGGCGGGCUGGAGGGAGCGAGAAGGAGGCGGAAGGCGUGGGAGAGCGGUGAAAGGCAGAGAUAUCACGCAGAACUCCGAGGGCGAAGGCAGCAUACCGGCGCGCAACUGACGCUCAGGCACGAAAGCGGGUGUAUCGAACAGGAGUAGAGACCCGGGUA
rnacentral:rRNA from 1 species